UUCGAAAAAUUGUUCCUUAUGACUGGUUUUGUGGUCCAUGGUCACAUAUUUAUAUAUCUUUCAUAACUAAAUAAAUAACUUAAUCUCAUAAAAAGCCAAAAGUAAGUAUUUUAAAGUAAUUCACUUUCACCCGAGGCAGAAUAUCAUCCCGGUGUGUUUCCUAAAAAUAAAUAAAUAAACAAACAAACAAAAAAACGCACGCGCAUUUUUCAGUCGGUCAAGUGAAGCCCCGCCCCCCCCAUACAUCACAGACACGGAGUCACAGCAGGACAGCUCGCGGUCACGGAAAAUAACAGGCAAGUUUUUACAACUUCUUAAUCCCUAUUUAGUGCACCUUUGACCGUUUUAUGUUUUGUUGUGCUUAUUUACCUGAAGAUUAAUCAGUAAUGUGUGUAAGUGCUAAUGUUAGCUAGCAAAGUACAUUAUACCCGCGGAAAAUUAAGAAAUAUUUUUUGUACUUUCUCACAGUCGGACACAGGCAAACGAGCCUCGCAAAUGUUAUUUCCAAACCAGAAAGACGACCGACAGAACAUCUUCCACACCUCUAACCGUCACUCGCGCCACAGAAACUGAAGCAGCGGGUAACGUUUCAUCUAGAAUCUCCAUGUGAUGCUAAUGAAGCCCGGUGAACGAAGCGGCUCGAGGAGGGUUUGUGGUGGCUGUAAAACCAAAGGCAGCGAGGGUUUUUGAGAUGUCAAUGGCAACAAUAGCAGCUAUUGGCAAUACUACUGUACGAGCUUACAAUGAGUUUUUAUUCUUGGAUAAAUUGCUUUUCAUGCAAAAGCAAUGAUGUCCGGAAAUGUCUUGCGGCACAAAUGGUAGGUCUCCUGAAGCAAUACAAUACUGAUUAUUAGACUAAAAUUUUAAUCUGAACUUUGAUCAAAUUAUUCAUACACUGCCCUGUUGAAAAAUAAUAGUUAAAUUACCGUAAUUUUGUGUUUUGUUUUUAAGGACAGUAAUGGCAUUGAUACUUCACACUAUGACCCUGGCAGAUCUAUUAUCUGAAAAGAAGAGACAGCAGAUGUUUUCAAGACACACAGGUUAUGUGUAUAACCUGCACCAGAAAAAGGAGCCUGAUCAGGUGCAGAAGGCAGCAGUCACCAUCAGAGUGAACAUUGUCUUUAACACCAGUGGAUGUUUUGAAUGCAUUUGAAGAUGAGAUGAUGUCUGCCAAGUCUUGGGUCAGUGCACUGGUGCCGGUUUUGUUUUUGCACUCAUUUUUAAACAUUUCCUUGUUUGUGAAGUCUGGACGUAUUUGGUGAAAUUUCUAAGAUUGUUUAAAUGUUAUGUUUUUGAUUAUAAAGUCCAUUGAUUUGGUUUUAUGUUUGAAAACCUCUUGAAGAAAUGUUGCAAUUUCAAUAAACACUUAAGAAUAC